rnacentral:misc_RNA from 1 species
AAGUCGUAACAAGGUUUCCGUAGGUGAACCUGCGGAAGGAUCAUUACAUUCAGUAGCCUAGCUACUUGUUUAUACCCUUGUUUUUUUGCGUACCUAUCGUUUCCUCGGCGGGGCUUGCUCGCCGAUUGGACAAAAUCUAUAACCUUUUUAAAUCUUCAAUCAGCGUCUGAAUUAUACAUAAUAAUUACAACUUUCAACAACGGAUCUCUUGGUUCUG